rnacentral:rRNA from 1 species
UACGUAGGGUGCGAGCGUUGUCCGGAAUUAUUGGGCGUAAAGGGCUCGUAGGCGGUUUGUCGCGUCGGGAGUGAAAACCAGGUGCUUAACACCUGGCUUGCUUUCGAUACGGGCAGACUAGAGGUAUUCAGGGGAGAACGGAAUUCCUGGUGUAGCGGUGAAAUGCGCAGAUAUCAGGAAGAACACCCGUGGCGAAGGCGGCUCUCUGGAACGCAACUGACGCUGAGACGCGAAAGCGUGGGGAGCAAACAGG